rnacentral:rRNA from 1 species
GACGAACGCUGGCGGCGUGCUUAACACAUGCAAGUCGAACGGAAAGGCCCUGCUUUUGUGGGGUGCUCGAGUGGCGAACGGGUGAGUAACACGUGAGUAACCUGCCCUUGACUUUGGGAUAACUUCAGGAAACUGGGGCUAAUACCGGAUAGGAGCUCCUGCUGCAUGGUGGGGGUUGGAAAGUCUCGGCGGUUGGGGAUGGACUCGCGGCUUAUCAGCUUGUUGGUGGGGUAGUGGCUUACCAAGGCUUUGACGGGUAGCCGGCCUGAGAGGGUGACCGGCCAGAUUGGGACUGAGAUACGGCCCAGACUCCUACGGGAGGCAGCAGUGGGGAAUAUUGCACAAUGGGCGGAAGCCUGAUGCAGCAACGCCGCGUGCGGGAUGACGGCCUUCGGGUUGUAAACCGCUUGCGCCUGUGACGAAGCGUGAGUGACGGUAAUUGGUAAAGAAGCACCGGCUAACUACGUG